AGUUAGAUAUUUUUUUAAUUAAUUGGAAAUAUAAUAUAAAAAUUAAGACGUAAACAUUUCACUUGCCAGUUCCAUCUAAAAAUCAAUAUAGAUGCAUCCAAAAUAACUCCUUUUCUUUUUUUUCUUUUUCUCUUUAAUUUCUACAUUUUUUUUUUUUUACUUUCUCAUUUUGUAGCCGUCCCGCUGUCCUUUUCAUAUCCUUUUCAUAGUGAAGAAAUUCCUCUUAAAAACUUCUAAAGACAUUUAGUUGUUUGCGAAAUAUAAUUUCUAUUUUUUUUUUCCAAACAAACAUUAGUAGAAGUUAAAUAGAGGAGCUUGAUUCCUUGCAGAGUUUUAUCUGGGUUCUAAUUCAAAGCAUUGUUUUUCAUUAGGUUGAUGAUGGGGCAGCAUUAAAUUCCAUACCCUGGUCAGUCGCCUGAUACUCAGACACUUUUCAGACGCCGCCAGCUGUAGAUGCCUAUGCUUGCAAGUGGUGAUUCGACACAAAUAGCCUGAAUCAAUGAACCUUUGUUGUGUUGAAAUCCCUCCGACGUAUGCGUGGACGUUGCCUACGACACUUAGAAUCUUUGUUGAAAUCCUGCAAUAUUAUGCAUUAAUGACGCAACUUUUAGCAAUAAACACUCUUUUGUAUGAGUUUGGUAGUGUUUGAGUAAUUCCACACAUUUUCUCUAAGAAUGAUGAGAUUUUAUCAUUAAAAA